rnacentral:rRNA from 1 species
UACGGAGGGUGCAAGCGUUAUCCGGAUUCACUGGGUUUAAAGGGUGCGUAGGUGGGCAGGUAAGUCAGUGGUGAAAUCUCCGGGCUUAACCCGGAAACUGCCAUUGAUACUAUCAGUCUUGAAUACCGUGGAGGUAAGCGGAAUAUGUCAUGUAGCGGUGAAAUGCUUAGAUAUGACAUAGAACACCAAUUGCGAAGGCAGCUGGCUACACAAAUAUUGACACUGAGGCACGAAAGCGUGGGGAUCAAACAGG